rnacentral:rRNA from 1 species
UACGUAGGGCGCAAGCGUUGUCCGGAAUUAUUGGGCGUAAAGAGCUCGUAGGCGGCUUGUUGCGUCGGUUGUGAAAGCCUGGGGCUUAACCCCGGGUCUGCAGUCGAUACGGGCAGGCUAGAGUUUGGUAGGGGAGAUCGGAAUUCCUGGUGUAGCGGUGAAAUGCGCAGAUAUCAGGAGGAACACCGGUGGCGAAGGCGGAUCUCUGGGCCGAUACUGACGCUGAGGAGCGAAAGCGUGGGGAGCGAACAGG